UACGUAGGGUGCAAGCGUUGUCCGGAAUUAUUGGGCGUAAAGAGCUCGUAGGCGGCUUGUCGCGUCGACUGUGAAAACCCGAGGCUCAACUUCGGGCUUGCAGUCGAUAUGGGCAGGCUAGAGUUCGGUAGGGGAGACUGGAAUUCCUGGUGUAGCGGUGAAAUGCGCAGAUAUCAGGAGGAACACCGAUGGCGAAGGCGGGUCUCUGGGCCGUAACUGACGCUGAGGAGCGAAAGCAUGGGGAGCGAACAGG
rnacentral:rRNA from 1 species